rnacentral:rRNA from 1 species
AUGAACGAUAAUGCUAGCCCCGAACCAGACGGUUUUGGGCCAGCUUUCUACAAGGCCAAUUGGGACCUAGUUAAAAAUGACCUUCUAUCCCUUCUCAACAGUUUCCACUCCUGCUCUGCAGAUCUUAGGCGUAUCAACAAAGCUUACAUUGUCCUCAUCCCCAAAAAACCUGGCACAACUGACCCUGACCAGAUGCGUCCGAUUUCCCUUCAAAACUGCUCGGUCAAACUAUGCUCCAAGUGCCUUUCUAUUAGAGUUCAGCCGGUUAUCCGUGAUCUUGUCCAUGCGGAUCAAUCCGGCUUUAUCAAAGGCCGGUGUAUCUCGGAGAACUUCAUUCUCGCAGCUGAUAUUGUGCAAGCUUGCCACAAAAGAAAAUGCCCGGCCUUAGUCUUAAAAUUGGAUUUUAGGAAAGCCUUUGACUCUGUCUCUUGGGAGAGCCUUUAUCGUAUCCUUCAAGCCAAAGGCUUUUCAGAAACUUGGAUUCGUUGGAUUAUGAUGCUGAACGACUCUGGCCAAUCGGCUAUUCUUCUUAACGGCGUUCCCGGGAACUGGAUUCAAUGUAAAAAUGGUCUCAGACAAGGCGACCCCAUUUCACCUUACCUCUUCAUCAUUAUUGCCGAUAUCCUCCAACGCAUGAUCCUAGAGGCCUCAGCUCAGUGGCUACUGCAGCACCCAAUUGUUCCCAACUCGCCAUGUCCCAUUCUUCAAUACGCGGAUGACACUCUAAAUAUCAUAAACGCAGAUGAAGAUAACCUUGCCUCCCUAAAAUCUAUCCUGCUCAAUUUCUCCCUCGCCACGAGUCUCCACAUUAAUUUUGCUAAGAGCACUUUUGCUCCAAUCCAUGUUGACCCUUCUGUGGCCGCUCGCAUGGCAAGUAUGUUGGGUUGCUCGGUCACUACCUUCCCGCCGAACUAUCUUGGUCUCCCUUUGUCUACCCACAAACUUCGUCUAAUAGAUUUCCACCCGUUAAUUGCUAAGGUUGACAAAAGGUUAGCUGGUUGGCGAGGACACCUUCUCUCUGCGGCCGGUAGGGCAGUUCUUUUCAACUCUGUAAUUCGAGCUCUUCCCACCUAUGCGAUGACCGUUAUGCCGCUUCUUGUUGGUUCUAUUCAGGAGAUUGACAAGCGGUGUCGUGCUUUCUUUUGGGCUGGCGAUGACCACGUGAAUGGGGGUCAAUGCAAAGUUGCUUGGGCAGACGUCUGUGCCCCCACUAAGAAGGGCGUCCUGGGCUUUAGAUGCCUUCGUACUCAUAAUACUAGAUCAUCGAUGGCGCGCAUUGCUGCGCCCGUCUAUUUGUAA